rnacentral:rRNA from 1 species
GUCCACGCCGUAAACUAUGAUUACUCGAUGUGUGCGAUAAACUGUACGCGUCCAAGCGAAAGCGUUAAGUAAUCCACCUGGGGAGUACGAUCGCAAGAUUGAAACUCAAAGGAAUUGACGGGGGCCCGCACAAGCGGAGGAGCAUGUGGUUUAAUUCGAUGAUACGCGAGGAACCUUACCUGGGCUUGAAAGUUAGUGAAUGAUCUUGAAAGAGGUCAGACCGCAAGGACACGAAACUAGGUGCUGCAUGGCUGUCGU